GAAUUCGCAGGAAGCUUCUGGUC
rnacentral:siRNA from 1 species